rnacentral:rRNA from 1 species
GGGCAAGCUACUGAAGGCACACGGUGGAUGCCUUGGCGCCAGGAGCCGAUGAAGGACGUGGGAGCCUGCGAUAAGCCUCGGGGAGCCGGCAACCAGGCUGUGAUCCGGGGGUGUCCGAAUGGGGAAACCCGGCGGAUGUCACGAUCCGUCACCACUGUCUGAAUGUAUAGGGCAGUGGAGGGAACGCGGGAAAGUGAAACAUCUCAGUACCCGCGGGAAGAGAAAGCAAGCGCGAUCCCCGGAGUAGUGGUGAGCGAAACGGGGUGAGGCCAAACCGACCACGUGGAGAAGCCGGCAGGCGUUGCGUGGUCGGGGUCGUGGGACCGCUCGGCCGGAGCUGCCGCUCCGGCGGGGAGUGAUCAACCGCGGGGUCAGCCGAAGGGCCUGGAACGGUCCGGCAUAGUGGGUGAGACUCCCGUAGGCGAAGACCCCGUGGCUCCCGAGCGGGAUCCCAAGUAGCACGGGGCCCGGGAAAUCCCGUGUGAAUCGGGCAGGACCUCCUGCCAAGCCUAAACACUCCCUGGCGACCGAUAGUGCACCAGUACCGUGAGGGAAAGGUGAAAAGCACCCCGGUGAGGGGGAUGAAAGAGAACCUGAAACCGUGUGCCGACAAACCGUGGGAGCGUGUCCUCGCUUCGGCUUGGACCACGUGACCGCGUGCCUAUUGAAGAAUGAGCCUGCGAGUUGUGGUGUGUGGCGAGGUUAACCCGUGUGGGGCAGCCGUAGCGAAAGCGAGUCUUUUCAAGGGCGAGCAGUCGCAUGCCGCAGACCCGAAACGGAGUGAUCUACCCAUGCCCAGGGUGAAGCGCGGGUAAGACCGUGUGGAGGCCCGAACCCACCAGGGUUGAAAACCUGGGGGAUGAGGUGUGGGUAGGGGUGAAAGGCCAAUCAAACUUCGUGAUAGCUGGUUCUCCCCGAAAUGCGUUUUGGCGCAGCGUCACGUCAGUGGCGGCCGGAGGUAGAGCACUGGACGGCCCAGGGGGUGUAAAAGCUUACCGACGCCGGCUAAACUCCGAAUUCCGGUCGCUGGACCGUGGCAGUGAGACUGUGGGGGACAAGCUCCAUGGUCGAAAGGGAAACAGCCCAGAACACCGGCUAAGGCCCCCAAACGUGCGCUGAGUGGGAAAGGAUGUGGAGCGGCCCAGACAACCAGAAGGUUGGCUUAGAAGCAGCCAUCCUUGAAAGAGUGCGUAAUAGCUCACUGGUCGAGUUGCUCUGCGCCGAUAAUUCAGCGGGGCUUAAGCGUACUGCCGAAGCCGUGUGGCCCACGGUAUCCGUGGGUCGGUAGGGGAGCGUCGUGUGGCGGGUGAAGCGGCCGGGUGACCGAGCCGUGGACGCUAUGCGAGUGAGAAUGCAGGCAUGAGUAGCGAAUGAGGGGUGAGAAACCUCUCCGCCGAAUGACCAAGGGUUCCAGGGGCAGGUUCAUCCGCCCUGGGUAAGUCGGGGCCUAAGGCGAGGCCGACAGGCGUAGUCGAUGGAUAACGGGUUGAUAUUCCCGUACCCGUCGCGGCGCGUUUCCCGCAAGGGAUGGAGUGAUGGGGUGACGCAGCAGGGGCGCCCAGCCCGGGCGGUGGUUGUUCCCGGGGUAAGGGUGUAGGGCGGUGCGCAGGAAAAUCCGCGCACCAUAGAGGCCCGAGACCUGAUGCCGAGCCGAUUGAGGCGAAGUGGGUUCUCCCUGGUGCCGAGAAAAUCCUCUAGCGAGUGCCGUGGCGGCCCGUACCCGAAACCGAUGCAGGUGGUCGGGUUGAGAAUACUAAGGCGAUCGGGUGAACCGUGGUUAAGGAAUUCGGCAAA